UAUAAACUGGUCCAUUUUAUCUGUGAGUAUACAGUCUAUAGUGUCUAUACAGUCCAUAUUGUUAAAAUUAAUGUUUAUGGAGAAGUGCGAUACUUUAAGAAAGUGCUCUUCAGAAUAUUUGUUUCUAUGGCAACUGCUUCUGUAAAGUGUUACCAUGGUCUGAAUCAUAACUCCUAGAGUAAACCACAUAGGCAGGCUGUUUUUCUCCAACAUCUGGCAUGAAAGAUUUUUCAGGUGCACUUUUAUGCUGUGGAUCUCCCAUUCUACCACAUCCCUAAGCUGUUCUUGUGGAUUCAGAUCCGGUGACUGAGAAGGCCACUGAAGAACACUGAACUACUUAUGCUCAUGAAACCAGUUUGAGAGGACUUUUGCUUUGUGACAUAGUGCAUGGUGCUGGAAGUAGCCAUUAGAAGAUGGUAAAUUGUGGCCAUGAAAGGAUGCACAUGGUCAGCAACAACACUCAAAUAGGCUGUGGCAUUCAAGCAAUUAUUGAUUGGUAUUAACAGGCCCAAAGUAUACCAAGAAAACAUUCCCCACACCAUUACACCAAUUCCUCCAGCCUAGACACAAGGCAGGUUGGGUCCAUGGAUUCAUGCUGUUGGUGCAAAAUUCUGAUCCUACCAUUUGUGUGUCUCAGCAGAAAUUGAGAUUCAUCAGAGCAGGCUACAUUUUUCCAGUCUUCACUUGUCUAGUUUUGGUUUGUCUGUGCCCACUGCAGCCUCAGCUUUCUGUUCUAAGCUGACAGACUUGGAGCCCGACGUGGUCUUGUGCUGUCGUAGCCCAUCCACCUCAAGGUUCAAUGUGUUGUGCAUUCUAAGAUGUUUUUCUGCUCACUACAACUGUACAGAAUGGUUAUGUGAGUUGCCGUAGCCUUUCUGUCAGCUCGAACCAGUCUGGACCAUUCUCUGUAGACCUCUACUUGUUUCUGUCCACAGAACUGCUGCUCACUGGAUGUUUUUUCUUUAUUGAACCAUUCAGAGUAAACUUUAAGAGAUUGUUAGGAGUGAAAAUCUCAGUAGAUCAGCAGUUAAAGAAAUACCCAAACCAAACAAUCAUGCCUUGAUAAUUUUUUCCCCCAUUCUGAUGGUUGAUGUGAACAUUAACCGGAGCUGCUGGCCCAUAUCCGCAUAAUUUUAUGCAUCGCACUGCUGACGCACAAUUGGCUGAUUAGAUAACUGUAUGAAUGAACAGGUGUAAAGAUGUUCCUAAUAAAGUUCUCAUGGUGUGUACA